UCGAGCGGACAGAUGGGAGCUUGCUCCCUGAUGUUAGCGGCGGACGGGUGAGUAACACGUGGGUAACCUGCCUGUAAGACUGGGAUAACUCCGGGAAACCGGGGCUAAUACCGGAUGGUUGUUUGAACCGCAUGGUUCAGACAUAAAAGGUGGCUUCGGCUACCACUUACAGAUGGACCCGCGGCGCAUUAGCUAGUUGGUGAGGUAACGGCUCACCAAGGCNACGAUGCGUAGCCGACCUGAGAGGGUGAUCGGCCACACUGGGACUGAGACACGGCCCAGACUCCUACGGGAGGCAGCAGUAGGGAAUCUUCCGCAAUGGACGAAAGUCUGACGGAGCAACGCCGCGUGAGUGAUGAAGGUUUUCGGAUCGUAAAGCUCUGUUGUUAGGGAAGAACAAGUGCCGUUCAAAUAGGGCGGCACCUUGACGGUACCUAACCAGAAAGCCACGGCUAACUACGUGCCCAGCAGCCA
rnacentral:rRNA from 1 species